GCGUGCAUAAUCACAGGCAGCUGUAGCUUAACCACGUAGGUGACUGCGUCUUUUUGGCUCUUGUCAAUGACCAUGUAUGACAAAACAAUGGACCAAGUCAUUAAGACAUUAAGUGUCAAACAUGUUAUUUUUGAACGUACUCCGUUUGUCUAAGAUUAGCAUUACUGGUAUGGCAGGUUGUAUGUUUUUCUGUCACUUUUGGAAAAUGGCUAGGCUUAUGCGGGAAGAGGACAUUGAAAGUGCUUAUUUAGAAAUCACCAUUUUUGAUUUAAGUGAUUCAUUCAAGAGCAAGAUGAUAUACAUUGGGUUACAGUAUUUUUUUCCUAUCCCUGUGAGGUUUUAUUGUACCUUACCUUACAAUACCUUCCCUUUGAAUCAAAUAAGAAACUGUGGAAAAUGCAGUUUUUGAUAAAUUUGUAAUUGAUUAGCAUCAAUGAUAUUUAUGCGGCAGUCCUCCUGGUGGUUCGGCACACGUGACCGCUUGCCGAAUCGAUCACGUGGUAUAGCCGGGCAGCUAGGCUUCGUACGUCAUCACUUCCGGCUCCUCCCCUAAAUGAAGCAAGCCUCGAUGCGCGCUUUGCGGACACGCUCCAUGCAUUUCCCGCCACACGCCUCGCGAAGACUCCACAUCUCGUAACAUCACUACCAUUUUAGUUUACCAAAAAAAUAAUUUGUGUGCGGUAUUAUACAGAGAACUUCACAACAAUUGAAAUGGAUGGGAAAAUCAACUAGGCACACCUUGGCAGCACGCUGAAAGAGUGUUUCCCAGUGGGAUCAGGGGGGCUCUGUGCAAUGAGGGGAACCCAUCCCGGUCUUCCCGGGUCAUGGUGGUCUUUGUGGCGGCAUCCCCCGUGGCUGCAGAACCUCUCGGUGGGGAUGGCUCCCACAGAGCUAUCUUACAUCGAUAAGAGCACUUCAUUAAUGCUGAGGCAUUAUAGAGUUCGGCAUGGCAAUGAAGAAUUGGCAGAUACUCGUGUGAGUACCCUUGUUCCUAACAAGCAAGCAGUGGAUGAGGCUGUGGUCAACAUGAUCAUCAAAGACUGUCAGCCACUCACCAUUGUUGAAAAUGAGGGCUUCAGGGACCUUCUGAAACUUAUCAACUCGCACUUAGCCCUAAAAUUUUUAUGCUCACCAUCUUCAUCUGUACCCUGUGAAAGAGUUUUUUGUAAGGCAGGGGAACUCGUGUCUUAGAGGA